UACGUAGGGUGUAAGCGUUGUCCGGAAUUAUUGGGCGUAAAGAGCGUGUAGGCGGCUUGGUAGGUCCGCUGUGAAAACUCGAGGCUCAACCUCGAGAUGUCGGCGGAAACCACUUGGCUAGAGUCCGGAAGAGGAGAGUGGAAUUCCUGGUGUAGCGGUGAAAUGCGCAGAUAUCAGGAAGAACACCUAUGGCGAAGGCAGCUCUCUGGGACGGUACUGACGCUGAGACGCGAAAGCGUGGGGAGCGAACAGG
rnacentral:rRNA from 1 species